rnacentral:rRNA from 1 species
UCAGGAUGAACGCUGGCGGCGUGCCUAGCACAUGCAAGGUCGAACGGGGUGGUCUGAUCUUCGGACUGGACACUUAGUGGCGGACGGGUGAGUAACGCGUGGGUAACCUGCCUCAUACAGGGGGAUAGCAGUUGGAAACGACUGAUAAUACCGCAUAAGCGCACAGUACCGCAUGGUACAGUGUGAAAAACUCCGGUGGUAUGAGAUGGACCCGCGUCUGAUUAGCUUGUUGGCGGGGUAACGGCCCACCAAGGCGACGAUCAGUAGCCGGCCUGAGAGGGUGAACGGCCACAUUGGGACUGAGACACGGCCCAAACUCCUACGGGAGGCAGCAGUGGGGAAUAUUGCACAAUGGGGGAAACCCUGAUGCAGCGACGCCGCGUGAAGGAUGAAGUAUUUCGGUAUGUAAACUUCUAUCAGCAGGGAAGAUGAUGACGGUACCUGACUAAGAAGCCCCGGCUAACUACGUGCCAGCAGCCGC